UUGAAUCUGGAGCUAGUAGAAAGUUAAAUAAAGGCCUUAAGAAAAUCUUUUCUCCUCCCAAGUGAAAAUAGCUUUUAUUAUAUUUAUGAUUUUUAAAGAAACUAUGCAGGAAAGUAUUGAGAAUUACUGAAAAUUACACUAUAGAUCCCUGACACAGUAUGACAAAAACAAGGAAGUUGGUUGGCACUGUUGGCUUGGGGUGGGGUGAGGAGGAAGAGUGGUGACAGGAAGGACAGGUAACAAGAAGCAAGGCCUGGUGGGAUAGGCGGUAGGAGGAUUGGUGGGAUAGGGGGUGCAGACCUUCAUUAGUAACCAGAGAAGGGCAAACUCCAACCUUCCAUCGGUGAUGCUACUUGUGGCCCCUCAAGAUUGGUGAGGACCAGAGUGACAGGGUGGUGUGCACUGAGGCACUGUUUACAAAGGGGUGUAUAUGGUGGGAAUGUGCUGGGGCUUUCUGUUGCACUGCUUGCCAGCCUAGAAGUGGGGUACAGGGGUUGAGAGAUUGAGCUCUGCCAUUAGUAGAGACCCUCACGUGACCACGAGCCAAGGUGUGAGUAAAUUCCUCUUAUUCAGGUCUUUUUUUUUUUUUUUUUGCAGCACUCCUCUUUUCUGUUGAGACAGGCUAGUGUCUGGCCCAGAGGAUGAUGGGGAGAAAGACACUUUUCCAGAAUGGAGCAGGAGUAACUGCAGUCAAAAAGAAAAAGGGAGAAACAACUUUCAACAUGGAAAAUUCCCCUCAGGAAAAUGAAGAAAGAUUUCAGAAUGUAGAGGAGAGCUACAUUUGGAAGAAACUGAAGGCCAGGAAGUUAGACAAGAUAAUCACCAGGAACAAACUCCACCUACACAGGAAGAUGGAGAUUGCAUGGCCCAUAGGUAUAACAGUGAAGGGAGAGGGAGGAGGAGAAGAGGACAAUGAGGAGAAAAGUGUCUGGAAGAGAUUUUAAAAACUUAAGAAAUGCAUUUAGAGUAAUGCAUUGGAUGAAAAGACAGUCCAGGAAGUGGCCUUAUUUCAUUUAGUGUUUUUUUGUCUUGAACUGUUUUUUCUUAUAAUUUUAAGGCUUCACUUUUAAGUUGCAUUUCCUAGUCAGUCAUAUUUUCACUCAUUUUUUUUAACCUUUUGAUGAUAUUGAUUUUGGAUGUUCUUGUUGUCACCAGUAUCCCACUAGAUUUUGUUUUAUGGUUUCAUAUGCAAUUCUGCAUUUCAAUACAGGAUUUUUGCCAUUUGUAUAGAAAAAGCUCAUAUAUAUACACACAAGUACAUAGACACACACAUAUAUAUGAUAUCCUAAUUUAAAAUAGGCAUAUUUAUAUGUUACAUGUGUGCAUAGAAAAAAUUUGGAUAAGAUGUACAUGAAAAGUUUAAUAAUACUGGUUUCUCUCUAAGGGGCAGAUUUAUGGAAAAUUUUUUAUUUUGCAUAUCUGUAUUCUCUCAUUUUUUCAAAAGAAUAUGUUUAACUUGCGUCACAACAUUAAUAAAGAGUCUAAAAAUAAAAAAUUGAAA